rnacentral:rRNA from 1 species
CUACGGAAGGCAGCAGUGGGGAAUUGUUCGCAAUGGGCGCAAGCCUGACGACGCAACGCCGCGUGGAGGAUGAAGAUCUUCGGGUCGUAAACUCCUUUCGAUCGAGACGAAUGGCCCUUGGGCUAAUCACCAGGGGAAUGACGGUACCGAGAGAAGAAGCCCCGGCUAACUCCGUGCCAGCAGCCGCGGUAAUACGGGGGGGGCAAGCGUUGUUCGGAAUUACUGGGCGUAAAGGGCUCGUAGGCGGCCAACUAAGUCAGACGUGAAAUCCCUCGGCUUAACCGGGGAACUGCGUCUGAUACUGGAUGGCUUGAGUUUGGGAGAGGGAUGCGGAAUUCCAGGUGUAGCGGUGAAAUGCGUAGAUAUCUGGAGGAACACCGGUGGCGAAGGCGGCAUCCUGGACCAACACUGACGCUGAUGAGCGAAAGCCAGGGGAGCAAACGGGAUUAGAUACCCUGGUA